GACAGAGGCCCCAAGCGUUAGGCGGAAUCACUGGGCUUAAAGCGUGUGUAGGCGGAUCGUUAAGUGUCUUGUGAAAUCCCACGGCUCACCCGUGGAACUGCUGGGCAUACUGGCGAUCUUGGGCCAACUAGGGGCAGUCGGAACAAGCGGUGGAGCGGUGAAAUGCGUAGAUAUCGCUGGAACGCCGAAGGUGAAAACAGACUGCUGGGGUUGCGCCGACGCUGAGACACGAAAGCCAGGGGAGCAAACGGG
rnacentral:rRNA from 1 species